GGAGGGGGAUUCCCCAGCCAUCGCCCUGUGGGCAGUUUGGUGAGGAAACCUGUGGCCACAGAUUACACGAGACAGAGGUGCCACAGAAGAACCAGUCUUGGCCACAAGGUCUCUGUAUAGCGUGACACGGAGCCCAGUGUACCCGCGGCUAUUUGUUUUCUGCAGAAGAAGGGCCCCCACCCUGUCACCUGGGUCUUCUGGCAGCUCAGACCCACUCCCAGGCCUUCCCCAACACCUCCGCCACUGGACAGUUAUUUGCUUGGCAGAAUCUGUUUGUCUUUGGGGCUGUAACCUGUCAAGAAGUCACCAGGCCCUGGGAGAAAGAAGCAGAUUUGAUGGUAGCUCCUGGCCGGAACCAUUCCCACGGGGGCUAGGUGACGGAGGGCGCUCAGCCGAGCUUUUGUCUGGGGGUGUGGUGGCGGAGGUUGCAGUGGUGUGGGCCCAGCCCUCCAGGCAGAGCAAACAGGUCUUCUCGGCCACCUCCCUGUCCCAGCUCAGGUGGUGCUGGGUGCCUCCCACCCUGUUCUUGGGAAGGCCCCUCCUUUAUCUGCUUGCUCUGACCCGGCCACUUUCCCAGACACCGCGUGGUGUCCAGCCCUGUCUGGCGGCCAAGAGAACAGGCUCCAAGGGCACUCAUGGCCGCCCUUUAUUUCAAUAAUUAAGUAAUGGGAGCUGGAGAAGGAAAUGGCAACCCACUCCAGUAUUCUUGGCCAGAGAAUCCCAUGGACAGAGGAGCCUGGCAGGUUGCAGUCCAUGGGGUUGCAAGAGUCGGACACGACUUAGCGACUAAACCACCACCACCACCAGAGCAGGGAGCGGGCAAGGCUGCUUGAGAAGAGUAUAUGAGUUUGGGAGUCACGAGUGUUCAGAGAAUGGAUUCUGACAAGCUAGCGUGACUGACGGAUGGGCCUCAGAUACCUCCUCUGUAAAAUGGAGAUGUAUUGGAUUAGAAAGCAGGACUUGGGUGGAACUCACAGGUUUUUAAAAAUAUUCUGAGGUUCUGUGAUCUGGAAUAGUGCUUCUCAAACCUGACUGUUAAAAAUGCAAAUUCUGAUUUAGUAGAUCCUGCGGAAGAGGACAAGAUUCCACCAUUCUAACAAGCACCCUAGUGAAUGGGCUCUGCUAGUCCUCCGACCGCACUUCACGUGAGGAUAGUAGGUGGUGGUCUGAAGGGGUUCACCCACCCCUGCAGCCACCUGGGCUAGGAGACCAAGCCAGAUCUAGCCAGGGCUGUGUUGUCCAGACCCACGAGAAUUGGAGGGAGCUGAGAUCUUUUAGAACGGUAAUGUUCAAGCUGGGCCGUGGCUCCCCGACAUUUCCCAGGGUUUAUCCAAGGCUGUGAUUUCUGCCUUAAAUAUUAUUUCUAGCGUUCUGUUUUUCCAUCACAAACAAUAAAUGUCUGAGUGUCCACCAUAAUUAUGGUACUAUUGGCUGACCAACUCCUAUUAAACUGUUUAUAUGGAUGACCUCAUUUAACCCUUACAACCUUCUAG
ensembl:lncRNA